rnacentral:rRNA from 1 species
GAUGAACGCUGGCGGCGUGCCUAAUACAUGCAAGUCGAGCGAAUGGAUUAAGAGCUUGCUCUUAUGAAGUUAGCGGCGGACGGGUGAGUAACACGUGGGUAACCUGCCCAUAAGACUGGGAUAACUCCGGGAAACCGGGGCUAAUACCGGAUAACACUUUGAACCGCAUGGUUCGAAAUUGAACGGCGGCUUCGGCUGUCACUUAUGGAUGGACCCGCGUCGCAUUAGCUAGUUGGUGAGGUAACGGCUCACCAAGGCAACGAUGCGUAGCCGACCUGAGAGGGUGAUCGGCCACACUGGGACUGAGACACGGCCCAGACUCCUACGGGAGGCAGCAGUAGGGAAUCUUCCGCAAUGGACGAAAGUCUGACGGAGCAACGCCGCGUGAGUGAUGAAGGCUUUCGGGUCGUAAAACUCUGUUGUUAGGGAAGAACAAGUGCUAGUUGAAUAAGCUGGCACCUUGACGGUACCUAACCAGAAAGCACCGGCUAACUACGUGCCAGCCGCCGCCGUAA